ACGGGGCGCAGCAGGCGCGAAACCUCCACAAUUCACGAAAGUGAGAUGGGGUUACCUCGAGUGCCGCCUGAUGAAGGCGGCUUUUCCAUUGUGUAAUGAGCCGUGGGAAUAAGAGGGGGGCAAGACUGGUGUCAGCCGCCGCGGUAACACCAGCCCCUCGAGUGGUGGGGAUGAUUAUUUGGCCUAAAGCGUCCGUAGCCGGCACUGUAAAUCUCUCGUUAAAUCCAGCGUCCUAAGCGUUGGGCUGCGAGAGAAACUGCAGAGCUAGAGGGUGGGAGAGGUCAGCGGUAUUCCUGGGGUAGGGGCGAAAUCCAUUGAUCCCAGGAGGACCACCAGUGGCGAAGGCUGCUGACUUGAACACGCCUGACGGUGAGGGACGAAAGCUGGGGUAGCGAAUCGGAUUAGAUACCCGAGUAGUCCCAGCCGUAAACGAUGCAGGCUAGGUGUUGGGUCGGCCACGUGCUGGCUCAGUGCCACAGGGAAGCCAUUAAGCCUGCCGCCUGGGAGUACGCCGCAAGGC
rnacentral:rRNA from 1 species